rnacentral:tRNA from 3 species
GGGGAUGUAGCUCAGUUGGCUAGAGUGCUUGACUGGCAGUCAAGAGGUCGUGGGUUCGAAUCCCAUCUUCUCCACUA